GAAGGCUUUAGCUUAAUAAAAGUGUUUGAGUUGCAUUCAAAAGAUAUGAAAUAAAUGUUCAUAAGUCUUA
rnacentral:tRNA from 1 species